AGACCGAUAGCAAACAAGUACGGUGACGGAAGAUUGAAAAGAACUUUGAAGAGAGAGUUCAAUAGUACAUGAAACUGUGUGGUGGUAAACGGAGGGAUUCUUGAAGUUUCUGUGAAGAACUCAGCCUUGGUGUGAGGCAGUCUGGUUCUAUCUGAUCAGCAAUGACAGUGGGGCUAGUCUGGCUUUGCUCACGGGUGCAUUUUCUUUGCAGUUUACGGCAGGAACCAUUUGGCGUUGAUCUAUGGCUCUGGGUGAAGUUACAGGCCUAGCUUGUAGCCCUGGAUGUCCUGACUCCACACCAGAUGGGUAAUUGAGGAAACUCGUAUAGCGAGCAAUGCUCUGUUGCAGUUUCCAUCUCUCUGCCGAGUAGGUCAGAGGUCCCUCCGACCCGUCUUGAAACACGGAC
rnacentral:rRNA from 1 species